rnacentral:rRNA from 1 species
CACUACUGCCCAAAUCUCCAUGUCAAACCCUGAUCUUGUCAGAUCUCAGAAACUAAGCAGGGUGGGCCUGGUUAGAACUUGGAUGGUCGACUGUUGGGAAUAUCAGGUGUCACAGUGGGGC